rnacentral:rRNA from 1 species
GGUUAACGGGGAAUUAGGGUUCAAUUCCGGAGAGGGAGCCUGAGAAACGGCUACCACAUCUAAGGAAGGCAGCAGGCGCGCAAAUUACCCAAUUCUAACAGCAUAAGAGAGGUAGUGACAAGAAAUAACAGUACAAGGCAGUUAAAAUGCUUUGUAAUUGGAAUGAUAGAAAUUUAAAUACUUUUUAAAGUAUCAAUUGGAGGGCAAGUCUGGUGCCAGCAGCCGCGGUAAUUCCAGCUCCAAUAGCGUAUAUUAAAAUUGUUGCAGUUAAAAAGCUCGUAGUUGAAUUUUUGCUAAAAAUAACCGGUCUGCUUUUAUUAAUAAAAGUGGUAUCUUGGUGUGUUUUUAGCAAUAAUGUCCUUUGAAAUGUUUUUUACUUUAUUGUAAGAGGCAAUUUUCAGGAUUUUUACUUUGAGAAAAUUAGAGUGUUUCAAGCAGGCUAACGUUUUGAAUACUGCAGCAUGGAAUAAUAAAAUAGGAUUUUAGUUCUACGUUAUUGGUUUUAAGAACUAAAUUAAUGAUUGAUAGGAGCAGUUGGGGGCAUUUGUAUUUAACUGUCAGAGGU